rnacentral:rRNA from 1 species
AUUCGAAGCAACGCAAAGAACCUUACCAAAUCUUGACAUCCUUUGACAACUCUAGAGAUAGAGUCUUCCCCUUCGGGGGACAAAGUGACAGGUGGUGCAUGGUUGUCGUCAGCUCGUGUCGUGAGAUGUUGGGUUAAGUCCCGCAACGAGCGCAACCCUUAAGCUUAGUUGCCAGCAUUAAGUUGGGCACUCUAAGUUGACUGCCGGUGACAAACCGGAGGAAGGUGGGGAUGACGUCAAAUCAUCAUGCCCCUUAUGAUUUGGGCUACACACGUGCUACAAUGGACAAUACAAAGGGCAGCUAAACCGCGAGGUCAUGCAAAUCCCAUAAAGUUGUUCUCAGUUCGGAUUGUAGUCUGCAACUCGACUACAUGAAGCUGGAAUCGCUAGUAAUCGUAGAUCAGCAUGCUACGGUGAAUACGUUCCCGGGUCUUGUACACACCGCCCGUCACACCACGAGAGUCUGUAACACCCGAAGCCGGUGGAGUAACCAUUUAUGGAGCUAGCCGUCGAAGGUGGGACAAAUGAUUGGGGUGAAGUCGUAACAAGGUAGCCGUAUCGGAAGGUGCGGUUGGAUCACCUC